rnacentral:rRNA from 1 species
AUUGAACGCUGGCGGCAUGCCUUACACAUGCAAGUCGAACGGUAACAGGGAGCUUGCUCCGCUGACGAGUGGCGAACGGGUGAGUAAUGUAUCGGAACGUACCAUUCAGUGGGGGAUAACGUAGCGAAAGUUACGCUAAUACCGCAUAUUCUGUGAGCAGGAAAGCAGGGGAUCGCAAGACCUUGCGCUGAUUGAGCGGCCGAUGUCAGAUUAGCUAGUUGGUGAGGUAAAGGCUCACCAAGGCGACGAUCUGUAGCGGGUCUGAGAGGAUGAUCCGCCACACUGGAACUGAGACACGGUCCAGACUCCUACGGGAGGCAGCAGUGGGGAAUUUUGGACAAUGGGGGCAACCCUGAUCCAGCCAUGCCGCGUGAGUGAAGAAGGCCUUCGGGUUGUAAAGCUCUUUCGGCCGGGAAGAAAUCGUAUGGGUUAAUACCCUGUGCGGAUGACGGUACCGGCAUAAGAAGCACCGGCUAACUACGUG